rnacentral:pre_miRNA from 1 species
CCACAGACAGCACCCAAAUGUUGAAACACUUUCCACUUUAGAAAUGAGAAGAGCGCUCCUGACAUUUGAGCGCCACCCCAUGG